UGUAGAUGUGUGCCCAGGCUGAAAGGCCAUCUUCGCCGCAGUGUCGCAGAUUAUUCAAGCGGUUAUUCAUGUCUCACAGGACAGCACUGCGCGCCAGCUGCAGAGCAAUGCAGUGUUGGCGUGUGGGAAUUUUCAGAUGCCAUAUACAUAUUAUACUACGUCACGUCCAUGGCGUGAGUCGGGAAUCUCUGAACAGCUGUUUAGUAUUUUGUCAGUUGCUCAUGUUGUAUUUCAUCAUCUGAUUUAUUUAUGACCACAGCAGUUUAGAAGCUCUUGGAUUACAGCAAAUGCCUUGACUAUCAUGCGCCCUUCAAGAUUCGGCGAUUCUUCUUCAGAAUAUGACAAGCGACGAGAGGAGGAAACGUGAAAGGGUCGUGCAGCCUACCGGUCGUCAACUAUUUUGUUCAAAACCAUUGUAUUCUACUGAAUGUGCCAUUGAGAUGAUACAGGUAACAACUAACAAUACCCUUCUCACCUUUGUUAGGAUUUAACACAAUUAUUGUAUAAUUCUUGUGGACUUGCUAGAUCACUAUGAUCCUAGCAUGGACUGAUGUCAACUUACAGGAGGAAACGUGAAAGGGACAUGCAGACUACUAUCAACUAUUUUGUUAAAUAUCAUUGUAUCCCACUGAAUGUUCUGUCGGAAUGAUACAGUUAACAACCAACACUAGCUUUAUUACAGGAUUGCUAAAACAUAUAUUUUUCUCAUCUUUUAUUAGGAUUAAUCAUAAUUAUCUGCUGUUUGUAUUGGACUUGCUAGAGCACCAACUCCAGCAUUUGGACCAAUCUCUCAUUUCAUCUUCUCGAGAGAAGAUUGGAUCACUAAUCGGUGGUUUCAUGUAUUAUAAACUCCAGGUUUCUAAAUUUUUCAUGGCACACUUUAUGAGAUCCUUUCAAGACAAGGUCCCUUGUUUACUAACCAGUUGGCUGCUACCCUUGAAUCUCCCUUUUUACUUUCUUAAGCGGGCCAUCUUUAUUUGAG